AGGACGAACGCUGGCGGCGUGCUUAACACAUGCAAGUGGAGCGACGAACCAGGGCUUGCCCUGGGGCAGAGCCGCGAACGGGUGAGUAACACGUGGGUUACCUGCCUCGAUGACCGGGACAACCCGAGGAAACUCGGGCUAAUACCGGAUGUGCCCGCAAGGGGAAAGGAAGCUUCGGCCUCCGCAUCGAGAUGGGCCCGCGGCCCAUUAGCUUGUUGGUGAGGUAACGGCUCACCAAGGCUUCGAUGGGUAGCUGGUCUGAGAGGACGAUCAGCCACACUGGGAUUGAGAACGGCCCAGACUCCUACGGGGGGCAGCAGUGAGGAAUUUUCGGCAAUGGGGGAAACCCUGACCGAGCAACGCCGCGUGCAGGAAGACGGCCUUCGGGUUGUAAACUGCUUUUCUUUGGGACGAGCAAGGACGGUACCAGAGGAAUCAGCCCGGCUCACUACGUGCCAGCAGCCGC
rnacentral:rRNA from 1 species